rnacentral:rRNA from 1 species
UUGCACAGGUGCUGCAUGGCUGUCGUCAGCUCGUGUCGUGAGAUGUUCGGUUAAGUCCGCUAACGAGCGCAACCCUCGCUGUGUGUUAUAUGUGUCACACGGGGACUGCCGGUCUUAAAGCCGGAGGAAGGUGGGAUGAUGUCAAGUCAGCAUGGCCUUUAUAUCCCUGGGCUACACACACGCUACAAUGGCCAACACAAUAGGUUGCUAAGCCGCGAGGUGGCGCCAAUCCAUAAAGUUGGUCUCAGUUCAGAUUGUAGGCUGCAACCCGCCUGCAUGAAGAUGGAGUUGCUAGUAACCGCAGGUCAGCUAUACUGCGGUGAAUACGUUCCCGGGGCUU